UACGUAGGCAGCGAGCGUUGUUCGGAGUUACUGGGCGUAAAGCGUGCGUAGGCGGUGGUCCAAGUCUGGUGUGAAAUCUCCCGGCUCAACUGGGAGGGUGCGCCGGAAACUGGGCCGCUGGAGUAUGGGAGAGGCAAGCGGAAUUCCAGGUGUAGCGGUGAAAUGCGUAGAUAUCUGGAGGAACACCCGUGGUGCAGACGGCUUGUUGGACCAUGACUGACGCUGAGGCACGAAAGCGUGGGUAGCAAACAGG
rnacentral:rRNA from 1 species